rnacentral:rRNA from 1 species
AUUGAACGCUGGCGGCAGGCCUAACACAUGCAAGUCGAGCGAGUGGCGGACGGGUGAGUAAUGUAUGGGGAUCUGCCCGAUGGAGGGGGAUAACUACUGGAAACGGUGGCUAAUACCGCAUACUAUCGGAUGAACCCAUAUGGGAUUAGCUAGUAGGGGGGGUAAAGGCUCACCUAGGCGACGAUCUCUAGCUGGUCUGAGAGGAUGAGCAGCCACACUGGGACGGAGACACGGUCCAGACUCCUACGGGAGGCAGCAGUGGGGAAUAUUGCACAAUGGGCGCAAGCCUGAUGCAGCCAUGCCGCGUGUAUGAAGAAGGCCUUCGGGUUGUAAAGUACUUUCAGCGGGGAGGCGUUACCCGCAGAAGAAGCACCGGCUAACUCCGUGCCAGCAGCCGCGGUAAUUC